rnacentral:rRNA from 1 species
GCCAGCAGCCGCGGUAAUUCCAGCUCCAAUAGCGUAUAUUAAAGUUGUUGACAGUUAAAAGCUCGUAGUUGAAGUUUCGGGGUCAGUAGAUUGGUCGUGCCACUGGUAUGUACUGGUCUUACUGAUUCCUCCUUCUUGACGAACUGUGAUGUCAUUAAUUGGUGUUGCAGGGAAUCAGGACUGUUACUUAGAAAAAAUUAGAGUGUUUAAAGCAAGCUAACGCUUGAAUACAUUAGCAUGGAAUAAUGAAAUAGGACGUUUGAUCCUAAUUUUGUUGGUUUCUAGGAUCGACGUAAUGAUUAAUAGGGAUAGUUGGGGGCAUUAGUAUUCAAUUGUCAGAGGUGAAAUUCUUGGAUUUAUUGAAAGACUAACUACUGCGAAAGCAUUUGCCAAGGAUGUUUUCAUUAAUCAAGAACGAAAGUUAGGGGAUCGAAGACGAUCAGAUACCGUCGUAGUCUUAACCAUAAACUAUGCCGACUAGGGAUCGGAUGAUGUUAAUUUUUAAUGACUCAUUCGGCGCCUUACG